rnacentral:tRNA from 1 species
GUUUUAAUAGUUUAUAAAAAAAUAUUGGUCUUGUUAAACCAAAGAAAUCAAUUUUAAAACU